UCCGGCUUAUCACCGGCAGUCCCUUUAGAGUGCCCAACUGAAUGAUGGCAACUAAAGGCGAGGGUUGCGCUCGUUGCGGGACUUAACCCAACAUCUCACGACACGAGCUGACGACAGCCAUGCAGCACCUGUGAUCCUGCCCGUGAGGGAAGCCGUGUUUCCACGGCGGUCAGGAACAUGUCAAACCCAGGUAAGGUUCUUCGCGUUGCGUCGAAUUAAACCACAUGCUCCACCGCUUGUGCAGGCCCCCGUCAAUUCCUUUGAGUUUCAACCUUGCGGUCGUACUCCCCAGGUGGAUUACUUAAUGCUUUCGCUUAGACGCUGACAGUGUAUCGCCAACAUCGAGUAAUCAUCGUUUAGGGUGUGGACUAC
rnacentral:misc_RNA from 1 species